rnacentral:lncRNA from 1 species
AAAAAAGUUGCUUUCUUUCUCACUAUAUAGGAAAUCUUUCAAAUGGCAAGCAUUGCAACGGUGAAGAUUCUGUGUUGGGUGCUGGUUGGGAUGGUGGUAGUUGCACCCAAUUCUGAGGCGGCGAUCUCAUGUGGCUCGGUGGCUAACACCCUAGCUCCAUGCCUUAACUAUGUGUUGAGUGGUGGUGCGGUGCCUGCUGCUUGCUGCAAUGGGAUUUCUUCACUCUAUAACUCACUGAAGACCACCCCCGACCGCCAAACUGUCUGCUCCUGCUUGAAAUCCGUUGCUGGUUCCGCCUCUCCUACCAACUUUAAGAACGCUGCUGGCCUCCCAAGCAAAUGUGGCCUCAACAUUCCUUACAAGAUCACCCCCUCUAUUGACUGCUCCAAG